GAAAAGAAAAAAGGAAACGCAAACGCAGUAGAAGCAGAUCAUCAUCCAUUUCAUCCACAUCGUCUUCCAGCACUACAUCUACUUCUUCCUCCUCAUCACGCUCAUCAUCAAGGUCAUCAUCUUCAAGUAGCAGAGAUUCUCCCAAGUCUAAAUCAAAGAAAAAGAAAAAAGAAAAACACAACAAAAAGAAAAGGAAAAAGGAGAACAAAAUGAAGAAAAAGAAAGAAAAGAAGAAAAAGAGAGAGAAAACAGGACCUGUCCAGCUUUCGAAGUUCUUUAAAAACAAAAAGAAGAAUGACAACUACAGCAUGAUAACUGGAAAGAAAAUUAAGAUGAGAAUAAAGAAGACUAAGAAGGAUAAAGAGAGAGACCGGAACCGCGCAGAGCUCCUUGAAUUUCUGAACUCUGCCUUAUAACGAGAAGAGUGCUGACCAGGGACUUACCAAUGCACCAAGCCAACAGUCACCAUGCCUAGCAGAACACUAAAGGGAAACUCAGGGAAAAGGACACCAAGUUUUACAAGACUGGACUCGCCUGCUGUGAAGACAAUCAGGAUGUCUUUUUUAAUGGCAAAACGAAGAGUACUUGGUAAUGAAGAUCCAUGUCCUCCUUUUGAGAUCCUAAGGUAAUAGCUAGGCUGUGGUGUUGUAGAAGAUCAUAAGAGAGUGUAGUUCACAAUUAUAAGAAAUGACACUGAAGUCCAGUAGUGUAAUUUCUAUCCUAAUUGCAUGCAGAACACACUCUUCAUUUCAAAUGUCUUAAUGUUUUGAGUAGUUUAAACAAAGCAGAGUAUUUGUAAAUGUCUAUUUGAAAAAUGAGGCGUUUCUAUGUGAAUAUUUUUUCCAGUAGUGGUUUUACUUGUCCUAAAGAGCAAGUUGACCUCUGUAAAUAGAACAUGCUUUUACAUAAAUGAUUUUUUGACAGUUCAUUGAUUAAUAUAUUAUUUUCUUUCA